GGAGGAAUAUUGCACAAUGGGGGCAACCCUGAUGCAGCGACGCCGCGUGGGUGAUGAAGGCCUUCGGGUUGUAAAGCCCUUUUGCCACUGACGAGAACGGACGGUAGGUGGCGAAUAAGCCUCGGCUAACUACGUGCCAGCAGCCGCGGUAAAACGUAGGAGGCGAGCGUUAUCCGGAGUUACUGGGCGUAAAGCGUGCGCAGGCGGUGCCAUAAGUCAGGUGUGAAAGAUUCCGGCUCAACCGGGAAAA
rnacentral:rRNA from 1 species